AUUAUUGAGUGUCCAUGGGCAAGACCAUUUGUACAUGGUCUCUAUUGGUCUUGGAUAUUUUGUUUUGACCAUUGUCCAAUAUGGACCACCCAUUACUGCCCAAAACUGAAAUGGUCCUACUGGUCAAGCCCAAUUGGGCCCUGGACGGACUAUUUGACAGCUCUACAUAUGUAUCAUAGGUGUUGUCUUGAGUCGGUUUAUGACUCGUAUAUAUAGCUUGUGCUGUAACACAAAAAAUAAUAAUAAUGAGAUAACUCUCUUCUCAAUUACAUCUCUCUCUCGUUGUCUUCUUCCACCCACACCAAACAUAUACAUAAAUUAUUAUAAUAAUAGAAUUAAAUAUACACAUAUACAUAGGCAUAUGUUUCUUGAGCUAUAUUCACAACACGUUAUCAGCACGAACGCUCUCCGACUAUCAAGAUAAGUUUUAAAUUUAUGUCUUUCAAUACAUUUAAUUUAUUUAAAUUUUAUUAUUGUUUUGGAGUGAGAGGCUAGGCCUUCUCCGUCUAUUUAUCGGGAUGAUAGGCGCUGCCUUUCCCGACUAAUCGUUAUGGUAGGCUAAGCCUUCACGAUCAGAGAACACGUGGUAGGCUUUGCCUCCGUGAAUAAAAACAAAAGGUCAAAAAUGGUAGACUAAGUCUCCUCGGACCUUGAAAUAAGUAAAAGUCAAAAUGGUUGACCAUGACUCCUCGGACUUUGAAAAAUGAUCAAUAUGAUAGUCUAAGACUCCUCGGAUCAUGUGGUAGGCUAAGCCUCCAAUUUUAUUUAUUGCUCAUUAAUUUUCUGCAAUUUAAUUUAUGCAUUUAUUUUAUGCUUUUAAUUUAUGCAUUUAAAUUUCCGUCUUUAUAUAUUAUUAUUCUAUGAAUACGAUUAUCAUGUCAAAUUUGACAAAGUUCAACAUAAAUGCCCUUGAUAUUAUGAGAAAUAAUUACAAGACUUUGGCAGUGGGUACAAAAAUGCACCUAAGAGAAAAUGAGCUUUGAGAAAUCAUCGAUAAGUUGAAACGAUAUCGGAUGAGAAAAAGAAAAACCAUGAUAUUUUACCCACUUAAAUGAUGGUUUAUAAGAUGAGGUGUAUCAUGAGAAAAGAUUUAGAAGAUCUUUGAUUGUUAAAUCCUCGAAAGAAAGGAUUGGAGUUGAUGUAAAUCUUCCGAGUAAACUGAAAAAAAAAUGAAAUCAUGACAUUAAACCAUCAAGUCGGUCCUACUAGAAAAGGACGAGGGUGUAGAUGCGGUUGAAAUCGCUAUCGUGGUCGUGGAAGAGGACGAGGAAGAAGAUUCCGUCCCUAUGAGAAUAAUGAGAACUUCCACGAAAAUGAAAGUGAUCGGGUGAUAAAAGGCAAAUAGAAAAGGUUUGCUAUAGAUACGGCCAGAAAAAAAAAUUGGCUACGUAGUUGUCGUACGCCAAAUAUUUAGCCGAUUUAUAUCGAGAAUCAAAAUGAAAAAGAGAAGGAAGUAUAUUAAACUUCAUCUCUUAUGAGCCCGGACCAUUUUUCAUAGCUUGAAUACUCAUCUUGAUGAUUCAGAUUUUCUAGUUGGUCCAGAAAAUGAAAAUAAAAUAUAGAUGUGAUAUGAAAAUUAUCUUCCUGAAUAAGAUUGUGAGAUUCAGGAUGGAGAUAAAUAUACCUGGCAGAUAUUGGGUCAUCGUACAUGACUACUAAAGGUAACAAAUAUUUCUCCUCUCUCAAAAUAAAUAAGUAUAGUAUCUAGUAAUAUAAUUGUAUCUAGAAGAGCUUAUGAUGAAAAGACAUGCAUAAGAAAAAGAUGGCAAAAUUAUAAAUGAAUGGUAAACCUGAAAUUUACUGAUAUAUAGCCAUCUCCAAUAAUGUUAUCGACAUUAUUGUGAAAUGUUGAUGAAAUGUUGAAAAACCAUAAGUUUUUCACAUAUAGCAUGUCAAUAAAAUAAAGGAAACCGUCAUGGGUGCUGAAUCAUCAGUCAAGUUCACUAUAUGUGAUUUCUUUAAGCAGACCCCAAAUUAAGAUCUCACUCUAAAGGAUUUGAAACAUAAUUCAUCUCAAAUGGGAAAACUGACUAUGUUAUAGGUUCUAGAGUGAGAUUCAGUACGAAAUUUUAGACAUGGAAUGUCAUCAUCUCGAGGGGGAGAAUUAAAGAAUCCUAGUGAGUGGAACAUUGAGAAAUUAUGUUCGCACUUGAAAAAGAACUUGAUAAAGUAAAUUCAAGUAAGAUGAUCCCCAUAAUCGGGUGUAAACAUGCAGUUGUGCAUGUAAUAAAGACAUAUACAAUCCAGAGGGAUAAAGUAUAUGGAUAAUUAGAAAUAUGCUCGCAAGUCUGUUAGAAGGAUAUGAUAAGCUGAUGGAAUGAGAUGUGAAAUGGAUUACAAUGAAAAGUAGGAUAAUCCAUUUACAAAAUGACUGCCAGACAUUUUGAUGAAAUAAUGAUAUCUCAUAUUCCAGCUGAAAUGCUCCAAUAAGAAAAUAGUGUCCUAAAAAGAUGAUAUAUGAGUCUAUUGCACGCUAGAGACAUGUUAGACCAUUUUGGUUCAAAAGAAUCCUCGAAAAGGAGCAAAUACAUGAAUAGAGGAUGAAUCUCAUGAUGAGACCGUUGAUAUGGUUAAUAUAAUAGUCAGGUACAUGAGUAAAUCAUCGAUGAUAAAGAGAUCUCGAUUAACCAUAUUAGUACGGGUAAAAAGAUGGAACCAAAGAGAAAAUAGAUUGUCGACAAUAAAAUGAAAAAACGCUAUAUAAAUAAGGAUUAUGAAUCUACCUCUAUGUAUGAGGGUAGAUUGAAUUGAUUGGCCAUCAAUUCGAUAUAAAGCUCGGUAGAAAAACGAGAGAUUUUUGGAUCAAAAGUCCAAGGUAUAUAUUUCUCUAGAGAAUGAAAUGAAAGAUGACCUUGAGGUAUGAAAAACGGCUUGUUCCGAGGUCAUUGGAGAAAAUUUAAAAUAGAUGCAGCAUAUUGAUAUGUCUGGCAGGACACAAAAACGACUUGAGUUUUAUCUUGAUAUUUUAGUAGUCCCUGGAGAAUUGAUGAUGUUCUCGGGAAUGUAUAAAACUCUGGAAGAGUUAGAACAAGCCACAUAUAUAAGGUAUCUUGAACCAGUAACUGGUGAUAUAUUUACGGCACGGUUUGCCGAUUGCCAUUUAAAGAGGAUAAAUUUCCAGCGUUAGGGGGAGGAAUUAAAGAAAUUCCUAAAGAGAUUACAUGGUGUACACAGUUGUUGUUACACUUUGGAAAUUCAGGAAAUUGUGCAUUUGCAUAAUUUGGCAAACCAGUUACCAAAUGUGUUCACAGAUACGACAUGAUAUAUCCGUUGAAACUGUUCCAUCAAGAGUUGAUGUUCCUGAAGAACAAACUGAUGGUAACAAAAUGAAUGAACCUUGGGUUCAGUUAAAGAGGGGGAGACUAGCGGGUUCUAAAGAUAAAAAUCCCCAAAAAAAAUUGUUGAGCAAAGCAGAAAAGUUCGGAAAGAACCUAAUAUUGAAAGAUGUCUAAAAGAAGACAUAAGUGGAAACGUUCCAGAAGAACCUGAUAUUGAAAGAUGUCUGAAAGAAGGCAUAAGUGGAAAGGUUCCAGAAGAACCUAAUACUGAAAAUGUCUGAAAGAAGGCAUAGAUGAAAAGGUUCAAGAAGAACCAAAUAAAGAUAUGGAUCCAUAUGACGAGAAGGGAACAGAAAAGUAUGAGAUUUCCAUCAACUACGCUCUGGAUGAAAAGUAAUAGAUAAAGGAUGUUGAUGGAAUGUUCUCCUUUUCUGUGUCCAAAGAUAUCGAUCAUGAAAAUGAUGAUCCCGAUCCAAGGUUCAUUUUGGAAUGUUAAAAGACAUGAUUGGGGGGAGUGGCAGAAGGCCAUUCGAAUUGAAUUAUUCUCCCUAAAUAAAAGGAAUGUCUUUGGACCUAUAGUCAUAACGCCUGAGAAUAUAAAUCUUGUUAGGUAUAAGUGGGUAGUCGUGAGAAAAGUAACACGAUAUAAAGCCUGAUUAAUUGCCCAAAGUUUUUCUCAGAGACCGGAAAUUGAUUUUGAGGAAACGUAUAUCCCGGUAAUGGAUGCAAUUACGUUUAGAUUUUUGAUGAGCCUAACGGCGUCUAAAAAUCUUGAAAUGCAUCUCAUGGACGUUGUGACUGCAUAUUUAUAUGGAUCGUUGGAUAAUGAUAUAUAUAUGAAACUCCCCGAGGGAAUGAAAAUGCCAGAGGCAUUGAAAGAAAAAUCCAGGGAGAUUUGUUCGGUCAAGUUACAACGAUCACUUUACGGAUUAAAGAAAUCCGGACGAAUGUGGUACAAUCGCUUAAGUGAAUAUCUUUUGAGUAAAGGAUAUGUGAAUAAUGCGAUAUGUCCAUGCGUUUUUAUAAAAAAAUCGUCAUCUGGCUUUAUGAUCAUUGUUGUAUAUGUAGAUGACCUAAACAUAAUUGGAACUCAAAAGGAGGUUGAUGAUGCUCGAACUCAUAUGAAAGAGGAGUUUGAAAUGAAAGAUCUCGGAAAGACAAAGUUUUGUCUUGGGCUCCAGAUAGAGCAUCUCCGAGAAGGAAUAUUUGUGCAUCAAUCAAACUAUACAAAAAAGUUAUUGAAACGCUUUUAUAUGGACAAAGCAAGUCUUUUGAGUACUCCAAUGGUAAAUAGAUCUCGAUGUUAAAAGAGAUGUUGUUUUAAAAGAUCGUGGUAAGAUCUUAUAUAAAUAAGUACUUUGGAGAUGCUAAUGGUAAUAAAGCAUAUGUGAGCUUGUAUGUCUUGCGAGUUGUAUUUGAUUAUACUUUUAGACACUAAUGUCUUUGCAAGAUACAGCUCAUUUCCUAUUUAUGGAAAUUAGAACGGCGUCGAGAACAUAUACGUUCUCUCCAAGGUACGUAUUGAUUUAGGAUUGAUUUAUCCUAGAAACCCCGAGUUUGGUAUGGUUUUGCAGAUACAUGAUAUUUAUAAAGUCGAACACAAGCCGGCUAUGUUUUUACAAUUGGUGGAACCGCGAUCUUUUGGUGGUCCCAAAAACAAACUCUGGUUGCGACAUCUUCGAAUCAUGCAGAAACUAUUGCGCUUCACGAAGCAUGUUGAGACUAUGUGUGGCUUCGGUCAAUGAGUCACCACAUACAAGAAUCAAGCGGAAUAGUUAACGAGAAAGAGUCAAUGAAAGUAUUUGAACAGAAUUCGGCUUGUGUCGCUCAACUCAAAGAAGGCUACAUCAAAAGCGACAAAACAAAGCAUAUCCCCCCGAGAUUUUUUUUCUUACAUAAGGGAACUCGAGAAAAAUAAAGAGAUGGACAUCGAAUAUGUACGGUCAUGCGAAAAUCCGGCAGACUUGUUCACCAAAGCUCUUCCGACUACAACAUUCCGAAAACACGUCUAUGGUAUCGGAAUGCGGCAUUUGUGUGACCUAUGACGAGAAAGCUAGGUCCACUAUUCUCAGGUGGAGAUUACGGCAGUGUACUCUUUUUCCAUCGUCAUGGUUUUUUAUCCUAAUGGGUUUUUCCGCAACUAGGUUUUUAACGAGGCACUACGUAUACAAGAUGACUAAUCAAGGGAAAGUGUUAGAAAUAGUGAUUAGUCAUCAAAAGACACAUGUCUUUAUCUUGAUAUCCUUGUCAGAUCAACACUUGUCUUACAUAUGUAUCAUAGGUGUUGUCUUGAGUCGGUAUAUGACUCGUAUAUAUAGCUUGUGCUGUAACACAAAAAAAAAAAAUAAUGAGAACUCUCUUCUCAGCUACAUCUCUCUCUCGUUGUCUUCUUCCACUCACACCAAACAUAUACAUAAAUAAUUAUAAUAAUAGAUUUAAAUAUACACAUAUACAUAGGCAUAUGUUUCUUGAGCUAUAUUCACAACACAUGGCCCUUACUUGGUCAAUUAUUAAUAUUUAGUAUAUUAGGACUUUCUUAUUUACGUAAACAGUAAACCUAUUUGGAUUAGGAUUGGGAAAUACAAACCAAAUAGGAUGAAUUAGUAUUUGGGUUUUCUAAAACCCUUCAGAAUAGCUUUAGGUUUCUUAAACCAAUUUGACAUAGAGUUAAAGCCUCGUUUUUCUUAACCACUUUGUUUUAGGAUUAGGGUUUCUACGUUUUAUAACAUUCAACCUUUAACCUUGAAUAAACUUCUUCUUUUAAUUUGGUGCAAACCAAUUCGUUCCUUGAAGACUCUUGUCUCUUUGUUCACGUUGGUGAACAGUUUUAUAUCACUCUUAGGAAGAGUGAUUUCAUGUGAUAGGAGAAGAGUGAUUUCAUGUUAUUCAUCCUGGACAUUAAGUAGGGUUAUCAUGUGUUUUAGGAGCAGCAAAUGCAUUCCAUAGCUCUUGAGCAAGUCCAUCUUCAUUACAUAUCAACCUCCACGCCCUUUCCAAGUGAGCUAGGGAAAGACAGCCAUUCCAUGAUCUAUCAGAUUUGAGGCACAAAACUGACCUCACGGUCAAAUGGACUAUAGGCACCAUUGAAGAGAAGCCGUAUCAUUUGACAGCUAAUCUGAGCAUAAAGUAUGAGAUGCUUAUAAAGAUUGAAGACCAAAAACUUACAAAGAUGUGUUCUUAAUACAAACGUAAAUAACUCUCAUCUAAAACCUUACACAAACGGCUGAUCUAUACAACCAGCUCUACGACGGAUAUGUGCAACGAAUUCAUAUCUUGGAAAGGUGUUUUGGUUAACCAGCUGUUAAC